UACGGGGGGGGCAAGCGUUGUUCGGAAUUACUGGGCGUAAAGGGCUCGUAGGCGACCAACUAAGUCAAACGUGAAAUCCCUCGGCUUAACCGGGGAACUGCGCUUGAUACUGGAUGGCUUGAGAUUGGGAGAGGGAUGCGGAAUUCCAGGUGUAGCGGUGAGAUGCGUAGAUAUCUGGAGGAACACCGGUGGCGAAGGCGGCAUCCUGGACCAACACUGACGCUGAGGAGCGAAAGCCAGGGGAGCAAACGGG
rnacentral:rRNA from 1 species